CAACAAAAUCGCGCUAAAACCAGCAUACUGAAACCUCUUUUCCACACAACUUCAACAAUGUCAGCAGCAGUGGAGCAAACUCCGCAACCCUUCAUUCUUCGCCUUCAACAAUCCCUCGUCUCCUGCUCCAAGGCAGUUGAAGCUGGUGAUUUUCGUCAAUCGGAAUAAGUAAUUUCUGGGAUUGUUGAGUUUCUCAGCUCAAUUUCUGAUGCUGCUGUUUCAGAUUUUGACGAUAAAGAAACCCAGAACAAUUCAAUCGUUGUUCUCUCUCAUAUUCACUCUUUCCUUUGAAACCCUUCUCUUGAUCAGGUCUACACUCCGAGGAUUGCGCCUUAUGCGAGGAAUUUGAUGUGGUUCGUGAGCAAUGGGCUAAGUUUUUUACCAGCAAGUAUUUAUUAUUGGCUUUAGCGCGCUUGAUCGAGUUGGUUUAGUUGUUAUAGAAUAAAUUGUAUAUUAAAAUGU